AUUUUGAUGUUCUGAACUGAAUGUACUGUUCUGAAUAAACUCGUAUCAAUGCAUCAGUCCUGUAGUUUAUAGCAAUCUUUUACCGCAUUGCAGAAAAAUCUGCGUUGACUUCCUAUCUUUAAACUAUGGUAGUUGUUUGGGCUAGUUGGUGUGCCAUGACACA
rnacentral:lncRNA from 1 species